UACUAGUUCAAUUUUUUAUAUUACAAUCUAGUUUUUUCUUUUUUCUACGCCAAACACAGAAAAUGAUGGAAAAAUUCUAAUGUAAAACACUAGCCAAGUCUAAGCUUUCACAUGACUGGAGAAGCCUCCACGGUUAGAAUGCAAUUCCAACUAGUAUCGUUAGAAGAGCUCCAUUUCUAAAGGUGAACCAUGAUUGAGUUUAGCUAGAGCUUUUGUAGGUGUUAAAGCAUUAAUAUCACAAUAUUGGUCGUGAUAGUGGCAACACUUGCACCAAGGAUUUCCAUAAUAUUUAUUAGUUGCAAGGCCACCAAUUAUACCAAGAAGUGGAAUUGGGUUGGAAGUAACUUAAUAAAUGUCAGUUUUGUAGAUGAGGUGACUGCUAACAACUUUAUCAUUCUGGCUCUUAACAUGUCUUGUAAAAUCUGGAAUGCUAAGAGCCUUAGUAGCCCAAUAGCUUAUAUUGGCAGUAACAGAAGAGGAAAAUUCCGACAAAAAAUAUGAAGUGUGAGAAAAUAACAUUUUUUCAAUUGAAAUGUGGCUAACUAGAAGUUGAAGGUGAUGAUGGUAGAAAUAGAAAGUUUGUUUUCACGGAUUGGUAGGAUU
rnacentral:lncRNA from 1 species